GACAUAAAAUAUUGUAACACUAUGACACACAACGCUAAAUGUAGCAAAUUUGCAGAAUUUUUCUUCACAACACUAAACACUUGAAACAUUUUUCUUUGUUCGAGCAUCAGUGACCUAAAUUUUUCUUUUCCCCCAAAUUAAAAUUAGAAGAGUAACGAAGAAUUGGAAGAGGCGGAUCUGGAUGAGACGAUGGGCUGGAACUCCUAUGCAAAAAUUGGUUCAACAAAGAAGUGGAAGAGGCGGAUCUGGAUGAACACGACGGUCCGUCCUACUGCAAUCCCGCCGGUCUCCAUCGUUCUUCGUCACGUGCUAGAGUUCUCUCCAUCGCUCGGGGCCGUGUCCCUUGCUCCGUCAUCGUAACACCAGCCAUAGACGUAAUCUUCUUCUUCUUCUCUCUGGUUUUCAAUUAAUUAAAUCAUAUGGGUUUCGUAAAGUCUUGAUCUUUGAUUUGUAAAGUUUCUUUAAUGGAGGAGCAGUCACAUCAAUUGUAGAGAGACUAUCGAUCAGGUUAAUUUACUUAAGCCAUAUCUUUCUCUUUCUUUCUUCUUCUUCUCCGAUUUGAGUAUAUCGGCGAUGGAGACGAGAACCCGGCGAUUGUAGUGGCCAAUCGUGAAAGAGAUCGAGAGCUUUUGACUCCCGUCGCUGAUUUCGGCGACAAAGACGAUGGUUCUUCUUCAAGCCUUCUUCUUCUUCUUCUUCUUCUUCGCAUCAAUCCAGCCACGAGGUGUAGUUUUUCUUUUCACCUGAUCUAUAUGAAGUAUUGUUAUAUGUUUUCUCAUUUCAAGAUUCAUGUGAAAUUAAAAGUAGAACUGGAUUGAUAUUAAGCUCUUAGUUCGUUUGAAGAUUAGGAUACCAAACCAAUCGAUUCUAGAAAACAGCUUAAAAAGGGAGUAUCUUGACCUCGAAGCUAAGGUAAAUGGCUUUAAAAAAAGAGACAUCUAGACAACUUUUCUGAACGUGCAUAAUAAAGCAGAACAUUCCUAAGCUUGAUUCCAACUGCAGAGCCAAAAGCCAUUCUAUUCACAGACAUAAGGUAUCUCCAGGAAAGACGAUAAAAGAGUGAAAGAACUAUUUGAGGCAUUGGACAAAUAGGCAUUGUGGAUAUGUCAGAACAGUUGAUCUAGGGUAUAAUAAUUAAUCUCAAGUUAAUAUUAAAUUUUGUUAUGUUGUUGGUGUAGGAGCUGAUGGAGGAAGAGGAGAGUAUAUCUUAUUUACUACUAUCUAACAAAAAUGUGUCCGAGUUCCAAAGUAUACCAUAAAAGGAUAUUAUCACUGGCAGCUCCAACUCGGUUUCUAAAUCAUCUGCCAUGAAUUCACAGGCUUGUGUACUUCAGCUCAAAGGUCUUGAGAUAAGCAGAGGAAAGAUGCGUUGAAAAUUUGUUUGUCAAGUGGAAUCCAAGAAGAUAACAACAUACAAUAAAACUCUCUUCUCCAUUGAGAAGGAUUUCGCAUGUCCUACAAAGUCACGAACUACAAAAUUAUGGAAUCAUCUGCAAAUAUGUAAGCGGUACAAGACAUGGGUAGAUGUGCAAAAUACGACUAAGAGUCAACAUGUUAUUAACAACAAUGAGCAGAAUCUGAAGAUUGCAAAGGUUCAUUAGGGUGGCUCGAGAGAAGCAGCAAAUGAGAUUCUAGUGAUAGGGAAGUUGGAAUUUAAACAUUUCUACAAUAAG